rnacentral:rRNA from 1 species
GAUGAACGCUGGCGGCGUGCCUAAUACAUGCAAGUCGAGCGAACGGACGAGAAGCUUGCUUCUCUGAUGUUAGCGGCGGACGGGUGAGUAACACGUGGAUAACCUACCUAUAGGACUGGGAUAACUUCGGGAAACCGGAUCUAAUACCGGAUGAUAUUUUGAACCGCAUGGUUCAAAAGUGAAAGACGGUCUUGCUGUCACUUAUAGAUGGAUCCGCGCUGCAUUAGCUAGUUGGUAAGGUAACGGCUUACCAAGGCAACGAUGCAUAGCCGACCUGAGAGGGUGAUCGGCCACACUGGAACUGAGACACGGUCCAGACUCCUACGGGAGGCAGCAGUAGGGAAUCUUCCGCAAUGGGCGAAAGCCUGACGGAGCAACGCCGCGUGAGUGAUGAAGGUCUUCGGAUCGUAAAACUCUGUUAUUAGGGAAGAACAUAUGUGUAAGUAACUGUGCACAUCUUGGCGGUACCUAAUCAGAAAGCCACGGCUAACUACGUG